AAGAGAAAGGAACAUACAAUCUGAACAGGUAUGACAAUCUUGCAUGAAUAUUUAUUUUAUGACUUCUCAAAGGCCUCGUGGUUUUACAGCUUUCUGAUAUCUCAACAUUCGGCAGUUUCGAUGCAAAUAGUCUCCAAAGCUUUUGGGGUCAGAUUUAUUUGGGGGGUCUGUUGUUAAACUCUGCAAACAGGUUUGUGAAUUAGUAGCCUCGGCUACAACUCCAGGGCCAAGCAGCCAUUGUUCAAUAAAGCACCCAGUCCUGGUGGUUUUUAAUAGGCUGGUUACAGGUGUUAAGACCAGUAGAAAAAGUGACAAAGCUCUCCUAUCUUACAUGCUCUUUACUUGUGCUGCUGUUGCAGGUGUGGGGUGAAGCAUGAAGGGAGAGUCUGCUGUUGCAGGUGUGGGGUGAAGCAUGAAGGGGGAGUCUGCUGUUGCAGGUGUGGGGUGAAGCAUGAAGGGAGAGUCUGCUGUUGCAGGUGUGGGGUGAAGAA